CAUCGCAUCCUGGGGGUGGAGAAGCUCCCAAGGGUCGGGCUGUUCGCCCGUUAAAGCGGUACGCGAGCUGGGUUCAGAACGUCGUAAGACAGUAGACCUAUAGCGUUAAUUACGCUAUUAAAUGAGCUGUCUAUAAAUCUAGCUAUUUGCUGGAAACUCCGGAGUAUCUUCAGCUACUUGACAAGUAAGCUAUCGUAGAGUUACGAUAACUUUAUGUCUAGUGAUAAUGUUGGAAGUGCGGACAAUCAGCAGGCAGCUGGGAAAGAAAUUUCUAAUGAGUAUUUAGCGGGAUUCACCGAUGGUGAGGGGUGUUUCUAUGUGGGGUUUGGUAAGAGAAAAGAUUUGCCUCUUAAAUGGCAGGUGAUUACCGAAUUUCAUGUAAGUCAAAAUCCAGGCGGAAAAAAUGUUUUGGAAGAGUUCAGAAAAAGGCUUGAUUGCGGUUAUUUAAAACCCAAUCAUGCAAAGAGCUUAAAAGACAAAACUUGGAUUUUAAUCGUAAAAGACAGAAAGGAUUUAAAGGAAAAACUUAUUCCUUUCUUUCAGGAACACAGUCUGCACACAAGCAAACAAAAAGAUUUUGAAAUUUUUGUAAAAGUGCUUGAAAAGAUUAAAACAGGAAAGCAUUUAACUAAAGACGGUUUUAAACAAAUCGUUGAGUUAGUUUUUGCCACUACCCGGGUAACAAAUAAAAGAUACUCAAAAGAAUCGCUUCUUUCCUAGAGCCUCAGAGACUACAUACUAGAUGAUGCAUUAAAUAGUGCGUCAAAGAUAUAGUCCGAACUGCAUGGCGACAUGUAGAGCGCAACAGAAAUGUUGUGUUCCCGAUCGAAUCGGGAUAACAUAUUGUCGGUCUCUAUCCAGGACAACCGAUUGAAAUUUGAGGAGAUUCGUCCCUAGUACGAGAGGACUGGGAUGAGGAAACCCCUGGUGUGCCAGUUGUUCUUACAAGAGCAGCGCUGGGUAACUAUGUUUCCAACGGAUAACCGCUGAAAGCAUCUAAGUGGGAAGCCGCCUCCAAGAUUAGAUUUCUAUCCCGUACCACUUUGCUCAUCAGGUAAAGUUUAAACUUUAUUUAGGUUUAACCUUGCUUGGUUGGUAAAGUGGUGCGGGAGUAAACCCCUUGUAGACUACAAGGUUGAUAGGCAGGCAGUGGAAGAACCGUAAGGUUUUAAGCUUACCUGUACUAAUGGUU
rnacentral:rRNA from 1 species